rnacentral:lncRNA from 1 species
AUGAAGACCAUUCGCAGAAAUCAGACUAUAGAUGUUCCAGAAAUUGUCAACAUCCCUCCGAAGAGAUGCAGUUAAUUGUAUAGGGCCACAGGGGAACCCUGCAGAGGAGCUUCAGCUGCAUCAAUGUAGAACUCAGUCUCCUUGGCAAACAAAGAAGCAGCUCUGGGUUGACAAAAUGGUAGGAAAAUAGGAAGGAGGUGGCUACUCUUCACACUACGUGUAGACUCAUGCACAGAACAUGAUCAAGGACAUUUCACUGGGCUUCCCUCAGAAGAUGAGGCUGCUCACUUCCCCCAUCAACAUCCUUAUCCAGAAGAAUGGGUCUCUUGUUGAAAUCUGAAAUUUCUUGGGUGGAAAAUACAUCCGCAGGGUUCAGAUGAGGCCAGGUGUUGCUUGUUCAGUAUCUCAAGCCAAGAGAGAUGAAUUAAUCCUUGAAGAAAAUGACGUUGAGCUUGUUUCCAGCUCAGCAGGUCUGAUUCAGCAAGUUGCAACAGUAAAAACAAGUAAAAACAGAAAAUUUUGGGGUGCCAUCUAUGUCUCUGUAACAGGAACAGUUCAGCAGGCUGAUGA